AUUGAACGCUGGCGGAAUGCUUUACACAUGCAAGUCGAACGGUAGAGGGGGCAACCCCUUGAGAGUGGCGAACGGGUGAGUAAUAUAUCGGAACGUGCCCAGUCGUGGGGAUAACGUAGCGAAAGCUACGCUAAUACCGCAUACGAUCUAUGGAUGAAAGCGGGGGAUCGCAAGACCUCGCGCGAUUGGAGCGGCCGAUAUCAGAUUAGGUAGUUGGUGGGGUAAAGGCUCACCAAGCCAACGAUCUGUAGCUGGUCUGAGAGGACGACCAGCCACACUGGGACUGAGACACGGCCCAGACUCCUACGGGAGGCAGCAGUGGGGAAUUUUUGGACAAUGGGCGCAAGCCUGAUCCAGCAAUGCCGCGUG
rnacentral:rRNA from 1 species